rnacentral:rRNA from 1 species
UGGGGAAUAUUGCGCAAUGGGGGCAACCCUGACGCAGCAAUACCGCGUGAGUGAAGAAGGUUUUCGGAUCGUAAAGCUCUGUUAUUGGGGAAGAAAAAAGACGGUACCCAAGAAGAAAGUCCCGGCUAACUACGUGCCAGCAGCCGCGGUAAUACGUAGGGGACAAGCGUUGUCCGGAUUUACUGGGCGUAAAGGGCACGCAGGCGGUUUUUUAAGUCAGAUGUGAAAGGUACCGGCUCAACCGGUGACAUGCAUUUGAAACUGAAAGACUUGAGUAUUGGAGAGGCAAGUGGAAUUCCUAGUGUAGCGGUGAAAUGCGUAGAUAUUAGGAGGAACACCGGUGGCGAAGGCGGCUUGCUGGACAAAUACUGACGCUGAGGUGCGAAAGCGUGGGGAGCAA